UCAAGCUAAUAAGAGCAUAAGGUGAAUGCCUUGGCAUCAAGAACCGAUGAAGGACGUAAAAAGCUGCGAUAAGCUUCGGGGAGGCGCACAUAGCCAACGAUCCGGAGAUUUCCGAAUGGGGAAACCUAGCUGAGAAAAGCUCAGUUGGCGUACAGUGAAUCAAUAGCUGUGCGUAGGGAACGCUCUGAACUGAAACAUCUAAGUAGGAGCAGGAAGAGAAAGAAACAUCGAUUUCCUAAGUAGUGGCGAACGAACGGGAAACAGGCCAAACCGAGAUACAUGUAUUUCGGGGUUGUGGACUACAUCAUGUGAUGGAGGUAAGGUAGUAGAAUUGUUUUGGGAAAGCAAGCCAAAGAAAGUGAAAGCCUUGUAUACGAAACCUGAAGACCCACAGUAGUAUCCAGAGUACAUCGGGACACGUGAAACCCUGAUGGAAGCCGGAGGGACCACCCUCCAAGCCUAAAUAUUCCUUGAUGACCGAUAGCGAAGAAGUACUGUGAAGGAAAGGUGAAAAGAACCCCGGGAGGGGAGUGAAAGAGAACCUGAAACCUUAUGUUUACAAACAGUCGAAGUUUUUCGGAACGACGGCGUACUUUUUGUAGAACGGUCCGGCGAGUUGCAGUGACAUGCGAGGUUAAGGAGUACAGCUCCGGAGCCGAAGGGAAACCAAGUCUUAACUGGGCGUCUAGUAUGUUAAUGCAGACCCGAAACCGGGUGACCUAUCCAUGGGCAGGUUGAAGUUACCGUAAAAGGUAAUGGAGGACCGAACUCACAUCUGUUGAAAAAGGUGGAGAUGACCUGUGGAUAGCGGAGAAAUUCCAAUCGAACUCGGAGAUAGCUGGUUCUCCUCGAAAUAGCUUUAGGGCUAGCCUUGAGGUAAAGUCUAAUGGAGGUAAAGCACUGAUUGGACGCGGGUCCCCAAAAGGAUACCAACUUCUAUCAAACUCAGAAUGCCAUAUAGAUAUACUCAGGAGUCAGACUAUGUGAGAUAAGUUUCAUAGUCAAAAGGGAAAGAGCCCAGACCGACAGCUAAGGUCCCAAAGUGUGUGUUAAGUGGAAAAGGAUGUUAGGUUUCUAAGACAACUAGGAUGUUGGCUCAGAAGCAGCCACUCAUUUAAAGAGUGCGUAACAGCUCACUAGUCGAGAGGUCUAGCGCCGAAAAUGUCCGGGGCUAAAACACACCACCGAAGCUACGGAAUUACCUAUGGUAAUUGGUAGAGGAGCAUUCUGUAAGGAUGAAGCACAAUUGAAAGAGAGUGUGGACGAAACAGAAGAGAGAAUGCCGGAAUGAGUAGCGAGAUAUAUGUGAGAAUCAUAUAGGUCGAAUGUCUAAGGUUUCCUGGGUAAAGCUGAUCUGCUCAGGGUAAGUCGGGACCUAAGGUGAGGGCGAGAGCCGUAAUCGAUGGACAACAGGUAGAAAUUCCUGUACUACGUAUAAUCAGAACUGUGGGGACGCAGGAGGAUAGGAAAACCGGAGAAUGGAAAAAUCCGGCUAAGUACAAAGGUGUGAGCAAUAGGCAAAUCCGUUGCUAUAAGCUGAAGUACGAAUGGGAGCGAAGAAAAGUAGCGAAGUUUCUGAAUCCACACUGUCAAGAAAAGCCGCUAUUGCGUUAUACGUACCCGUACCGCAAACCGACACAGGUAGACGAGGAGAAAAUCCACAGACCGACGGGAGAAGUGUUGUUAAGGAACUCGGCAAAAUGACCCCGUAACUUAGGGAUAAGGGGAGCCAACGCAAGUUGGUCACAGAAAAGAGGCUCAAGCGACUGUUUAGCAAAAACAUAGGUCUAUGCGAAACCGUAAGGUGAUGUAUAUGGGCUGACACCUGCCCGGUGCUGGAAGGUCAAAAGGAGAGGUUAGCGUAAGCGAAGCUUUGAAUUCAAGCCCCAGUAAACGGCGGCCGUAACUAUAACGGUCCUAAGGUAGCGAAAUUCCUUGUCAGGUAAGUUCUGACCCGCACGA
rnacentral:rRNA from 1 species